GUGGGCUGAUGCUUCAGAGACAAGUCAUUGCUGCUCGAAAAGCUCCAGAGGGACUCCUCCUCUCCACGUCGCACGAGAGUGGUUUUCGAACCCUGAGAAAUAAUCUCCCGUGGCCCCCUCUGCAAUUUCGCAACGACACAUUUUUUUUUCCGGAUGUGCAGUUGAGCAGCCAAUUAGAACGACGUCGUUGAGCGCGUCACGGACGGAAGUAUAACGACGGACGGCAUUAUAUAAAAGCCAGGGAACUCCAUUCGGUAUUAAUUCUUCAGCACUGAAGUCUGGUGUCGCCUGACUCUGAAGACGAUCAUCAUGAAGACAGCCAUCCUUAUUCUGUUCGUUCUGGUCGCUUGGGGCGCUGUUUCCGAGGUGGAAGGAGUGCGUCUUCGUCCCUUCACCCGUCCAUACAGGGCUGCACCCCAAGGCUUCGCUCCUUCGCCGCGGGGGACUCCCAGCAGAGGGCGCUUCCGUAGGGCCAUCUGCUUCCACUAUAUGGUCCUUCCCAUGCCUUACCCUUGCUGACGGCACCCGAACGGCGGUCACCACUACCAGUAGUGCUUACCCUGGUUUCACAGCGGUUACCGUGAAAUAAAAA